GAUGAACGCUGGCGGCGUGCCUAAUACAUGCAAGUCGAGCGAACAGACGAGGAGCUUGCUCCUCUGACGUUAGCGGCGGACGGGUGAGUAACACGUGGAUAACCUACCUAUAAGACUGGGAUAACUUCGGGAAACCGGAGCUAAUACCGGAUAAUAUAUUGAACCGCAUGGUUCAAUAGUGAACGACGGUUUUGCUGUCACUUAUAGAUGGAUCCGCGCCGCAUUAGCUAGUUGGUAAGGUAACGGCUUACCAAGGCAACGAUGCGUAGCCGACCUGAGAGGGUGAUCGGCCACACUGGAACUGAGACACGGUCCAGACUCCUACGGGAGGCAGCAGUAGGGAAUCUGCCGCAAUGGGCGAAAGCCUGACGGAGCAACGCCGCGUGAGUGAUGAAGGUCUUCGGAUCGUAAAACUCUGUUAUUAGGAAAGAACAAAUGUGUAAGUAACUAUGCACGUCUUGACGGUACCUAAUCAGAAAGCCACGGCUAACUACGU
rnacentral:rRNA from 1 species